CAGUAGCCACGGUAAUGCGUAGGUGGCAAGCGUUGUCCGGAAUUAUUGGGCGUAAAGCGCGCGCAGGUGGUUUAAUAAGUCUGAUGUGAAAGCCCACGGCUCAACCGUGGAGGGUCAUUGGAAACUGUUAAACUUGAGUGCAGGAGAGAAAAGUGGAAUUCCUAGUGUAGCGGUGAAAUGCGUAGAGAUUAGGAGGAACACCAGUGGCGAAGGCGGCUUUUUGGCCUGUAACUGACACUGAGGCGCGAAAGCGUGGGGAGCAAACAGGAUUAGAUACCCCUGUAGUCCCUGUCUCUUAUAC
rnacentral:rRNA from 1 species